rnacentral:rRNA from 1 species
UACGUAGGGGGCGAGCGUUGUCCGGAUUUAUUGGGCGUAAAGAGCGUGUAGGCGGCCAGGUAGGUCCGUUGUGAAAACUCGAGGCUCAACCUCGAGAUGUCGAUGGAAACCAUCUGGCUAGAGUCCGGAAGAGGAGAGUGGAAUUCCUGGUGUAGCGGUGAAAUGCGCAGAUAUCAGGAAGAACACCUAUGGCGAAGGCAGCUCUCUGGGACGGUACUGACGCUGAGGUACGAAAGCGUGGGGAGCAAACAGG